rnacentral:rRNA from 1 species
GUGUCAGCAGCCGCGGUAAUACGUAGGGGGCAAGCGUUGUCCGGAUUUAUUGGGCGUAAAGAGCUCGUAGGCGGUUCCGUAAGUCGAGUGUGAAAAAUCUGGGCUCAACCCAGUGGAGCACUCGAUACUGCGGUGACUGGAGUACGGUAGAGGAGUGUGGAAUUUGUGGUGUAGCGGUGAAAUGCGCAGAUAUCACAAGGAACACCAACGGCGAAGGCAGCACUCUGGGCCGGUACUGACGCUGAGGAGCGAAAGCGUGGGGAGCAAACAGGAUUAGAAACCCUUGUAGUCC